rnacentral:rRNA from 1 species
UAGCGUUGUUCGGAAUUACUGGGCGUAAAGGGCGCGUAGGCGGGUUUCCAAGUCGGGGGUGAAAUUCCAGGGCUCAACCCUGGGACGGCCUUCGAUACUGGGAGCCUGGAGAUCGGGAGAGGUGAGUGGAAUUCCGAGUGUAGAGGUGAAAUUCGUAGAUAUUCGGAGGAACACCAGUGGCGAAGGCGGGUCUCUGGGCAGUAACUGACGCUGAGGAGCGAAAGCGUGGGGAGCGAACAGG